AGAGGUCCUUGGCCAGUACCUCACAGUGCCCCCUUCCUCCUUAGCCCCACCUUGACUUCUUGCCUCUUCUCUCUUUAUAUUCUCUGCCCCUUACCUCAGUCUUCCCUCUGUCUCUGGGAAAGCCACAACAACAGAAACUCAUUCCCUCUGAAGAAUCUCUCCCUCCUUCCAUUCUUUGCCCUGGCUGUCCAUCCCUCUGCCUCCAUAUGUGACCUCCAGCCUGUAGGAAACUUAUUCUACACACUCAUCGAGGAAAGCAGGGAGGACUCCUGACCUACCCGGACGCAGACUCCUCCUCAGCCUGCUUCAGUUCAGGGAUCACUGAGCCAUUAAGGACACUGAAAAUGGAAAGCUGAACUUUGGAACCACCCACUUCCACAUUUUAGCAACACAACUGGCAGACAGUAUUAGACUGUGAAUGAACUCAAGGAACACAAGAGCAACACCCCCAAGUCCUGUGUGUUUUUAAGACAAUCUGAUGGCUAGUGUCCCUCAGAAGUAUAGGAAACAGAGAAAGAAACUGAGAGAAGUUAGGGGUGAGGUGCAGAGAAAAAGGACACUGGUGGGUGGGACACGUGGUGAAGGAAGGGUGGGCGAUGGAGGUAAGGAAGGAGAGAGGAGGAAGGGAGUUGAUGAAAUAUGGGAGGGGAAAGGGGAAUAUAAAGUUCAGAGUAGGGUAAAGGGGAAGGCUGGGAGGGGGAGGGAAGAGAAUGGGAAAGAGAGGGGAGUGAGGGGGAGAGAAUGAGGGAAGGGAAAAGGAAGAGGAAAGAGAGAGGUCAAGGGAAGGGUCAAGAAGAAGGGACAAAUUGUGUUUCAUGCUAAAGCCUGUGGAAAACAGCUCAAAGAGAAAGCCACGUAUAGUUCAAGUAUUCCUUAAAAAUAGAAAAAUUGAGAAACCGGCAUUCUUCAUCGCAAAAAAUUCAAGCAAUGUAGUACUCCCGAUUUUUGAAAAGAAAAUGAUUACAUAAAGUAGAACAUCAAAGUAGGGAAGUUUGGAAAGGAAAAGCCUUGGGGGUUGGGGGAGGUAAACACUGAAUAGAACAAAAUACAGAAGUAAAGAAGGCCCUGUAGAAGAGAAUCCAGUCUCCUGAAUGAACAUGAAGUGCAAGGAGACCUGCUAACCCAGUAAGUAAAACCUGGUGAGGACCCUUCAGCAAGAACCAAUCACUGCCCAGUAUGCUGAAACUACACCCCAGAAAUGGGCUUAAGUCAAAUGGACACCUUUUAGUGGAAAGCAGGAGAGGUUUGGUUCAAGCAUCAACUCACAGAACUGGUUCUGUGCGGAGCUGUGAGCACAGUCCGGAGGCCACCCUUGGUGAAGACACAUGGCAAACUAGAAGGCACUAGAGGUUCUCCAGGGCCCCAGGAAGCAAGAUGAGUAAGAGGGCAGAGGAAACGGCAGCAGAAAUAAAGAUGUCCUGUGAAAGCGUGGAGGCUGCUGGCUUUGAGGACAGGCCUUAAUGUUCCAGAUUUUGAUGGCUAGCUGUGCAGCCAUGGGCAAGUUACUUGACCUCUCUGAGGCUCAGAUACAAAGCUAACACAAUCAGAGCUCAUGCUGCCAGCUGGUCUUGAUAUCAAUGCGAUUUGCAGGAAUGAUGUCAGGUUAAGGACAAACCUUAACCUUCCUUGAGGGAAACAGGGCUUACUAAUGAGGAGAUACAGUGUCUCACUACUUAGGUCAGUGAUGCCUCUGUCUUAGCCUCUGGAGUUCUGGGACUACAGGCCUAUGCAAACUUGCCCCCAUUGUAGCUGCUUGUAUAUGUCCUUUGGUCUCUCAGAGCCUGGAAACCAGUGAGAAAAACAGGCAGGCCUGGAACUCUGGACUCACUGACAGACAGCCUGCACUCUCUCACCCUCUGGUAGGCUGUGAGAGAAACUCAGAAGCCCUGGAGGAUAGGCAUCUUGCAAGCCCAAGCUUCAAAGCCUACCAACCCCUGCAGUUCCUGGGUCCGAGCCAAGGCGCUUCCGUCAGCCUCUGGGCGUUUAGGACAUAGCCGGGAUUGUCUGAGCCACAGAGUCACAGCUGAGCAGACAAGGCCUAGCUGUUCCUGGAGACAAGUGCUCAGCUUUCCUCCCACAUGAAAAGGAAACCUGUGUGGCCUAGAAGAGUGGGAGGAAGUGGGCAAGGCCGGAGAAGCUGCAAGCAGGGCUGUAAGCAUCCCUCCCUGUCAUCCACCUCAGAAGACAACGCCCUGGGUAGCCAGGGGGGGCUGAGGGCCAGCAGGCAGAUCUGGUCACUGAGCAAAGCACUCAGCCUCAGUUAGACAACAACACACCAAGGAUUCAGCCCAUUGGAAGUCUGAAACCAGGUCUCUGCCUUUGACCCCUAUGUGACCUUGGUGGUGUGGCAUGAGGCUUUUCCAGUGCAAAAAUGACAGGUGGGGAAUUUUUCUCUUAUACUCACAGAGGGUCUGCUUCAAGAACAGAGAUGGGCCACUUCCUAGGAAGAUUAGACCACUACUAAAACAUGAAAGCAGGAAAUAAUAGACCUAGCCACUAGCCCAUGUAGACAUCACUCUGCCUGACUGUCUGACCCAGGGAGACCCCCACUUUUACUCUAUGAAGGUUAAGUGGAUUACGAUGGGAAGGGAAGGGAGGCCUUGGGACCACUCCUCUGAUGGCUACAGGGACCACAAAUUAACUAAAAGGGCCUCUUCAUUCUUGUUUCCUCUUCCUCACAGUUGCAUACCUGUCUUUAUAAAGAAGGCAUCUG
ensembl:lincRNA uncharacterized LOC110314417